AUUGAACGCUGGCGGCAGGCCUAACACAUGCAAGUCGAGCGGAUGAGAGGAGCUUGCUCCUCGAUUCAGCGGCGGACGGGUGAGUAAUGCCUAGGAAUCUGCCUAGUAGUGGGGGACAACGUUUCGAAAGGAACGCUAAUACCGCAUACGUCCUACGGGAGAAAGUGGGGGAUCUUCGGACCUCACGCUAUUAGAUGAGCCUAGGUCGGAUUAGCUAGUUGGUAGGGUAACGGCCUACCAAGGCGACGAUCCGUAACUGGUCUGAGAGGAUGAUCAGUCACACUGGAACUGAGACACGGUCCAGACUCCUACGGGAGGCAGCAGUGGGGAAUAUUGGACAAUGGGCGAAAGCCUGAUCCAGCCAUGCCGCGUGUGUGAAGAAGGCCCUCGGGUCGUAAAGCACUUUAAGUUGGGAGGAAGGGCUUACAGCGAAUACCUGUGAGUUUUGACGUUACCGACGGAAUAAGCACCGGCUAACUUCGUGCCAGCCGCCGCGGUAA
rnacentral:rRNA from 1 species